rnacentral:rRNA from 1 species
UACGGAGGGUGCAAGCGUUGUUCGGAAUUACUGGGCGUAAAGCGCGCGUAGGCGGCUUUUUAAGUCAGAUGUGAAAGUCCACGGCUCAACCGUGGAAGUGCAUUUGAAACUGGGGAGCUUGAGUAUCAGAGGGGACAGUGGAAUUCCCGGUGUAGAGGUGAAAUUCGUAGAUAUCGGGAGGAAUACCGGUGGCGAAGGCGACUGUCUGGCUGAAUACUGACGCUGAGGUGCGAAAGCAUGGGGAGCAAACAGG